rnacentral:rRNA from 1 species
CCUACGGGUGGCAGCAGUGGGGAAUAUUGCACAAUGGGGGAAACCCUGAUGCAGCGACGCCGCGUGAAGGAAGAAGUAUUUCGGUAUGUAAACUUCUAUCAGCAGGGAAGAAAAUGACGGUACCUGACUAAGAAGCCCCGGCUAACUACGUGCCAGCAGCCGCGGUAAUACGUAGGGGGCAAGCGUUAUCCGGAUUUACUGGGUGUAAAGGGAGCGUAGGCGGUUUAGCAAGUCAGAAGUGAAAGCCCGGGGCUCAACUCCGGGACUGCUUUUGAAACUGUUGAACUAGAGUGCAGGAGAGGUAGGUGGAAUGCCUAGUGUAGCGGUGAAAUGCGUAGAUAUUAGGCGGAACACCAGUGGCGAAGGCGGCUUACUGGACUGUAAAUGACGCUGAGGCUCGAAAGCGUGGGGAGCAAACAGGAUUAGAUACCCUUGUAGUC